rnacentral:rRNA from 1 species
ACGAGUUUUCGACGUCCGUGGCACAGGACACGCUGGCGGCGUGCCUAACACAUGCAAGUCGAGCGAUGAAGUUCCUUUGGGAACGGAUUAGCGCGGACGGGUGAGUAACACGUGGGUAACCUGCCUUAUAGAGGGGGAUAGCUUCCGAAAGAGGAUUAAUACCGCAUAAAGUUGUUGAUUCGCAUGGAUCGAUAACCAAAGGAGCAAUCCGCUAUAAGAUGGACCCGCGGCGCAUUAGCUAGUUGGUGAGGUAGAAGCUCACCAAGGCGACGAUGCGUAGCCGACCUGAGAGGGUGAUCGGCCACAUUGGGACUGAGACACGGCCCAGACUCCUACGGGAGGCAGCAGUGGGGAAUAUUGCACAAUGGGGGAAACCCUGAUGCAGCAACGCCGCGUGAGUGAGUGAAGGCCUUCGGGUUUGUAAAGCUCUGUCUUUGGGGACGAUAAUGACGGUACCCAAGGAGGAAGCCACGGCUAACUACGUG